UACGUAGGCAGCAAGCGUUGUUCGGAGUUACUGGGCGUAAAGGGUGCGUAGGUGGCUCUAUAAGUAUGGUGUGAAUCUCCCGGCUUAACUGGGAGGGUGCGCUACAACUGUCUGACUAGAGUGUGGGAUGGGUAAGUGGAAUUCCUGGUGUAGCGGUGAAAUGCGUAGAUAUCAGGAGGAACACCGGUGGUGUAGACGGCUUACUGGACCAUAACUGACGCUGAGACACGAAAGCGUGGGUAGCAAACAGGAUU
rnacentral:rRNA from 1 species